rnacentral:rRNA from 1 species
UGUUAAGCUACUAAGAGCAUACGGUGGAUGCCUUGGCGCUGGGAGGCGAUGAAAGACGUGGCUAGCUGCGAAAAGCUUCGGGGAGCCGCUAAGCAGGCAAUGAUCCGGAGAUCUCUGAAUGGGGAAACCCGCCAGGAGUCAUGUCCUGGCAUUUGCUGCUGAAUUCAUAGGCAGCAAAGGCGAACGAGGGGAACUGAAACAUCUUAGUACCCUCAGGAAAAGAAAACAACCGUGAUUCCCUGAGUAGCGGUGAGCGAACGGGGAAGAGCCUAAACCUGAUAUAUGUAAACCUGCAAGUGUUGUAUAUCAGGGGUUGUGGGGUUCUGCUGGAGGCUGUUGCAGCAGCUUCGGGAAGUUACAAAUCCAACAUAUAGCCGAACAGUCUGGAAAGGCUGAGCACAGAAGGUGAUACUCCUGUAGGCGAAAUGUGUUGGACUUCCUGGGCAGGAUUCCCGAGUACCACGGGACACGUGAAACCCUGUGGGAAUCUGGGAGGACCUUCUUCCAAGGCUAAAUACUACCCAGCGACCGAUAGUGAACCAGUACCGUGAGGGAAAGGUGAAAAGUACUCCUGUUAGGAGAGUGAAAUAGUACCUGAAACCGUG